GCUCGCGCCGGGCGAGCAGGCCGGCACGUGGAAGGCGGCCGAGCCGGCCGACGCCGCGCAUCGCGGCGAAUGGUGGCGCGUAUUCGGCGAUCCGGUGCUCGAUGCGCUCGAAACGCAGGCGCUUGCCGCGAACCAGAACCUGAAGGCCGCGGCGGCGCGCGUCGAGCAGGCGCGCGCGGCGACCCGCGCCGCGCGCUCGCAGUGGUUCCCGCAAGUGGGCGUGGGCUUCGGGCCGACGCGCGAGGGGCUGUCGUCGGCGUCGCAGUUCCAGCCGCAGGGCAGCGGCCCGACGAACGCGACGCUCUGGCGCGCGCAGGGCACGGUGUCGUACGAAGCGGACCUGUUCGGCCGCGUCGGCCGCAACGUCGAAGCGUCGCGCGCGGACGAAGCGCAGAGCCAGGCGCUGUUCCGCUCGGUGCAGCUCGCGUUGCAGGCGGACGUCGCGCAGAACUACUUCGAGCUGCGCCGGCUCGAUUCCGACCAGGAUCUGUACCGGCGCACGGUCGGGCUGCGCGAGGAGGCGCUCAAGCUCGUGCAGCGGCGCUUUGCCGAAGGCGACAUCAGCGAGCUCGACGUGUCGCGCGCGAAGAACGAACUGGCGACCGCGCAGGCGGACGCGGUGGGCGUCGCGCGGCGGCGCGCCGCAUCGGAGCAUGCGCUCGCGAUCCUGCUCGGCAAGGCGCCCGCGGAUUUCUCGUUCAGCGAGACGCCGAUCGCGCCGGUGGCGGUGCGCGUGCCGGCGGGGCUGCCGUCGGCAUUGCUCGAGAGGCGGCCCGACAUCGCGGCGGCCGAGCGCGCGAUGAUGGCCGCGAACGCGCGCAUCGGCCUCGCGAAGUCCGCGUACUUCCCGAAGCUCGACAUCACCGGCGCGUUCGGCUAUGAGGCGGCGACGCUCGGCAACCUGUUCCUGUGGUCGAGCCGCACGUUCCUGCUCGGGCCGUUCGCGGGCACGGCGCUCACGCUGCCGAUCUUCGACGGCGGGCGCCGCAGCGCGGGCGUCGCGCAGGCGCGCGCGAAGUAUGACGAGGAAGUCGCGAACUACCGGCAGCAGGUGCUCGUCGCGUUCCGCGAAGUGGAGGACAACCUUGCCGAUCUGCGUCUGCUCGACGAUCAGAUCCGCGCGCAAAGCGACGCCGUCAACGCGUCGCGGCGCGCGGCGAAGCUGUCGCGCACGCAGUAUCAGGAAGGCGCGGUCAGCUAUCUCGACGUGAUCGACAGCGAGCGCUCGGUGCUCGAAUCGCAACUGCAAUCGAACCAGUUGACGGGCACGCAGGCGGUAUCGACGGUCAACCUGAUUCGCGCGCUCGGCGGCGGCUGGGGGAGCGAUGCGGCGCUCGGCUCGCGCGAGCCGGGCAAGCAGGACGUCGCGGCGCGUUGAACAUGCGGCGGCGGCCCGUUUCGGCGGGCUGCCGCCGCAUUCGCCGCGCCGAUGCCUGCCGGCGCGCAUGGCCGACGAAAUGCGAAUGUCGGGCGGGGCGCACGCGGGCAGGCCGAGACGAGGGGCGCGAGGCGGCGCGCGGACGGAAUCGAUCGCGCGAGCGCCGGGACGUUCAAGAACCUGAGAGAGGCGGGGCCGGAGAAGCGGCGCCUGAGAACCUGAUGGCCCGAGGACCCGAGAGCCUGAGAACCCGAGAACCCGAGAACCCGAGAACCCGAGAACCCGAGAACCCGAGAGCCCGAGAGCCUGAGAGCCGCGCGAACGCGACGGGCGCACGCAUACGCGCCCGUCGCGUGACGGGCGGCAUCGACGAUGAAGCAUGGAAUGGCGCGACCGCCGCUUCGCGUCGGCGGCACACCGCCUGCGAUGCGCGCCGAAUCGGGCCGGCGUGCAUGCUGCAGCGCGAAUUCUGUUUCGUGCGCAGCGGUCUCGACUGACACUUGGCAGCGGCGCAUGGGACGGAACAUUGCCGUUUCGCUGCGCCGCUGGUCCGACAAUAAAAAGCGCAGUCCCAGCGUGGGGCGACAGGGACUGCUUAACCGCCUGCAUCCGAGGGCCAGAAAAUACUCGCAGACGGAACUACAAUCGCGCGGGUGUCAUGCGGGGCGGCAUGCCCUGUGUGCGCCUGCACGCGCGGCGUGCCGCACCCACCGAACCGCCGAGCAUCACGCUCGCAAAAAUCUUCCUGCAAAAACCGCUUCGCAUCGGCCGGCGCGCCGGAGCGGCCGGCGGGCAUUCCGCCCGCGCCUGCUCGCCGCGCCGGUUUCAAUUCCCGGAUUCGCUCGCCGGUUUCAAUCCCGUUGUGCGCGCCGACAACGCCGGCGCACAUGUUCAACCGCGCGAGCAACCGCGCGGCGUCACGCGCGCGAUGCGUGCGCCGUCGUCGCCUGCGCGAUCUCCGGCGCGGCGCCGGACACGCGGCUCGCGAGCGUCGUCGCGACGGUGCUCGCAUAGACGUUCAGCGCGGUGCGGCCCAUGUCGAAGAACGCGUCGACGCCCAGAAUCAGCAGCACCGCAUCGGCGGGCAAUCCGAUCGCGGCGAGGAUCACCGUGAUCGCGACCACCGCGCCCGAAGGCACGUUGGCCGCGCCGUCGAUCGUGAUGAUCGUCAGGACCGCGAUGGUGAUCAUCAGCGGCCAGCUCCAUGCGAGCUGAUACGCAUCGGCGAGAUAGCAGACCGCGAGCACCGUGUAGAGCACCGCGCCUUCGCGAUUGAAAAUGUACGACAGCGGCAGCACGUUCGACGCGACCGAGGAGGGCACGCCCAUUUCCGUGAGCUUCUUCAGAUGCACGGGGAACGUGAUUUCGGACGAGCGCGUCGUGAAGCCGAGGAUCAGCGGCUCGCUCACCUUGCGCACGACCGCGCGCGGCGAAUGGCCGGCGAGCUUGACGAUCAGCGUGAGCCACGCGGCGAGCAGCGCCAUGCCGAGGUACGCGAUGCCGAGCAGCUUCGCGAGCGGCGCCAUCGCGGCGAGCCCCUUCGACGACAGCAGCACCGCGAUCGCGGCGAAGAUCGCGAUCGGAGACAGCGACACGACCCACUCGGUCAUCUUGAAGAACGCGGCGAGCAUCGAUUCGCAGACGGCGACGAACGGCGCCGCGCGGUCCUCGACCGCGGCGAGCGCGCAGC
rnacentral:rRNA from 1 species